GUGCUCCCUUUGGCAGCACAUAUACUAAAGUUGGAACAAUACAGCAAAGAUUAUCAUGGCCCCUGCAUAAGGGUGACGCACACAUUUGUGAAGCAUUUCCAUAUUUU